UGGAGGAGGAAGAAGAGAAAAAUGUUUUGGAGCAAAGUAAUCAAUUUUCCGUUAGUGGUAAUAGUAGUCGUGGGAGUAUUAACGUAGUUUUGGCUUUUUGUUGUCAUCGUACUAGACAUCCCCCGAAUUCACCCACCUUUCUCUUGCAGUGUGUCUUGUGUGGGUUGCAGUUUGCACGUAACUACGUAUAUGUAACCAUUUCGUCUCAAUCUCUGGGUCAAAAGGCCCGAUUUCGAUUUGGGUACUGCGCCGGAAACCUCUGUUUUUGAUUUAUCCGAAGGUUAUGAUGGGGAAGAAAAUUAUAGCGAUUUGUCAAUCAGGGGGAGAAUUUGAGACAGAUAGAGACGGUUCCUUGUCAUAUAGGGCUGGAGAUGCUCAUGCCAUAGACAUUGACGACCAAAUGAAGUUUAGCGAGUUUAAGAUAGAAGUGGCAGAAAUGUUUAAUUGUAGCAUUGAUGCCAUGUCUAUCAAAUACUUCCUUCCAGGCAACAAAAAGACUCUCAUAACAGUUUCCAAUGACAAGGAUCUAAAGCGCAUGGUAAAAUUUCAUGGGGACUCUGUCACUGCAGAUGUUUAUGUCAUUAUGGAAGAUUUUGUUGCCCCUGAUGUGUCAAACUUGCCUGCUAGUAGGUCAAGCAGAACAACCUUGUCAGAAACUGUUCUUGCUGUUGAUGCCCCUCUUGCUGUUGUUGAUGAUAUUGCAGAAGAUACCACCCAGCCCGAAAUCCCACUCGAUGCCCCUCUUGAUGUUGUAGAUGAUACCAACCAUGUUGACACUCAUAUUGAUAUGCCCACUGAAAUUUCUCCCAUUUUCUCUAUCGUGGUUUCCAAUGAGGAGAAACAUGCUAAAGGUGCGCAGCAGUGGCAGAAUACUAUUACAGGUGUCGGGCAAAGGUUCAGCAGUGUUCAUGAAUUUCGUGAAUCACUGCGUAAAUAUGCCAUUGCGCAUCAGUUUGCAUUCAGGUACAAGAAGAAUGAUAGCCAUCGUGUGACUGUCAAAUGCAAAGCAGAAGGCUGCCCUUGGAGAAUACAUGCAUCAAGGUUGUCAACCACUCAGUUAAUAUGCAUUAAAAAGAUGAAUGCAGUGCAUACAUGUGAAGGUGCUGUUGCGACAACGGGGCAUCAAGCAACUAGGAGUUGGGUGGCAAGUAUUAUCAAGGAGAGGUUGAAAGUUUACCCAAAUUAUAAGCCCAAGGACAUUGUCAAUGACAUCAAACAGGAAUAUGGAAUACAAUUGAACUAUUUUCAGGCAUGGCGGGGGAAAGAAAUUGCAAAGGAGCAGCUUCAGGGUUCAUACAAAGAAGCAUAUAAUCAGUUGCCAUUUUUCUGUGAGAAGAUAAUGGAGACCAAUCCAGGAAGUCUUGCUAAUUUCACCACUAAGGAAGACUCAAGUUUCCAUCGUCUCUUUGUCUCAUUCCAUGCCUCAUUAUAUGGUUUUCAACAAGGUUGCCGGCCUCUCCUCUUCCUUGAUAGCAUAUCAUUAAAGUCAAAAUAUCAAGGAACGUUGUUAGCUGCUACAGCUGCAGAUGGGGAUGAUGGUGUUUUUCCUGUUGCUUUCGCUGUAGUUGAUGCAGAAUCUGAUGAUAACUGGCACUGGUUCUUGCUACAACUGAGAUCUGCCCUCUCAGCAUCUCGUCCAAUAACAUUUGUCGCAGACAGACAGAAGGGUUUGAGGGAGUCCAUUGCUAGUAUAUUUGCAGGCUCAUACCAUGGCUACUGCCUACGGUACUUGACAGAGCAACUUAUUAGAGACUUGAAAGGACAGUUUUCUCACGAGGUGAAGAGACUCAUGGUUGGGGAUUUUUAUGCUGCUGCUUAUGCGCCUACGCUCGAAAGCUUCCAAAGAUGUAUUGAAAGCAUUAAAAGUAUCUCUCUAGAGGCUUAUGAUUGGAUUAUACAAAGUGAGCCCCAGAACUGGGCAAAUUCAUAUUUUCAGGGUGCCAGAUAUAAUCAUAUGCAAUCAAAUUUUGGGGAGCCGUUCUACAGUUGGGCAUCAGAUGAGCACGAACUACCAAUAACACAGAUGGUUGAUAUGAUAAGGAGCAAAAUUAUGGAGUUGAUCUACGCACGACGAACAGAUUCCAACCAAUGGUUGACAAGAUUGACUCCAUCAGUAGAAGAAAAACUGAAAAAAGAAAGCCAUAAAGUCCAUUCUCUUCAAGUGCUUCUGUCAGCUGGUAGUACAUUUGAGGUUCGUGGUGACUCCAUUGAAGUGGUUGAUAUUGAUAAUUGGCAUUGUAGUUGCAAAGGGUGGCAGCUAACUGGUUUACCUUGCUGCCAUACUCUAGCAGUUAUUGGUUGCAUGGGUCGUAGCCCCUUUGAUUAUUGUUCCAGAUACUUCACGAUUGAGAGCUACAAAUUAACUUAUUCAGAGUCAGUACAUUGUAUUCCAAAUGUGGACAUGCCUGUGCAGAGAGAUUCUUCUCAACUCACAGUAACUGUAACCCCUCCUCCCACCCGUCGUCCACCGGGCCGGCCCACUACAAAACGGCAUGGACCACAAGAGGUAGUGAAACGUCAACUCCAGUGCAGCAAGUGCAAGGGCCUUGGGCACAACAAGUCUACUUGCAAAGAGUUCAUUUAGAGUGUUAGAUAUUGGUUGCACCGAAUUUCCAUGGGCAUCAGAUUCUUGUACAUCUGGCAACUCUAGUGGAGGGACUGAAAGAUAAACCUGUACUUUUUCUUUAAAUAACCAAGCCACGGACCUGAUUUCUGUAACGAAUGUCUUAGGGUUGUUUGAAAGGUUCAUUGAAGUCGGAGUCACCUUGCUGAUGUAAGCAUCCAAGUAUUUUGGUUAUAUGGAAAAUAAGUUUUAAGGGCAACACAAAUAUGAGUUUGCUGUACAGUCAAAAUACGGUUUGCCGAGUAUUACGAGCCAGAAGUUAGUACGCGGGAAUGACAUUGAUGUGGUGUUCUUGCUGCCCACAGUGAAAUGAGCAUUGCGAUGUUGCAGCUGGAUUUGAAGUCUUGUGGGUAGAGAAGGUUUUAAAAAGCCAAAAGGAUAUUAAAGAUUAGAACAUGUGAUUCUCAAAUUGGAAACGUGGAAUAAGCGCUUAGUUCUGGUUCUAAGGCUUGCUGGUGGGCAUACCCAAUGUUACAAAACUGGUUAAGGUUGGGCCACAUGGUAUCUGCCAUCUGGUAAACAUGACCUUGCUUGUAGACAACAUAAUAGGCAUUCCUCUUGUAGUAGGAGGGUAGCAGGGUGGCUUCACCCUCUCUGAUUGUCUGGAGGACAGACGUGACCAGAACCGAUAACAGAUUGAAUUCAACAUCAAAUUGUUAAUGCAGAAUUCAUGCGCACCACAAUCAGCGUGAUUUGCACACCACAAUCGGCGUAAUCUGUGCAUGAACCCGUCCUUUUGUGGAUUAUCUAGCUCCAUGUUCCAGGAUGCCACCAUUAUUGCCCACAAAAGAAAAGACAUCCCUGAGUUCAACAGGGCAAAGGAUGAGGUCGAGGAACUGCUUUCAUUGUCAAGGUUGUAGAGAAGGUGAUGAGAGAUUUGUAGUUUCUGGGUGUCGGUAAAUAAAAGUUUUGGUCUGAAAGUUUCCAGGAGCAUUGAUGAAUCGACACUAUUGCUUUAUUAUGGUUUUCGAUUAAUCUAUUCUUCACUGGAAAAGAAGCACAAACUGCUUCACGUCGCUUCUAAUCCUUGUCUUGAUCUUCUACACAGUGCAAAGCCACUCUUGAGAAGAAA